CGAUAACGAACGAGACCUUACUCUGCUAAAUAGCCAGGCUAACUUUGGUUGGUCGCCGGCUUCUUAGAGAGACUAUCAACUCAAGUUGAUGGAAGUUUGAGGCAAUAACAGGUCUGUGAUGCCCUUAGAUGUUCUGGGCCGCACGCGCGCUACACUGACAGAGCCAACGAGUUCUUUUCCUUGUUCGAAAGAAUUGGGUAAUCUUGUUAAACUCUGUCGUGCUGGGGAUAAAGCAUUGCAAUUAUUGCUUUCCAACGAGGAAUGCCUAGUAAGCGCGUGUCAUCAGCAUGCGUUGAUUACGUCCCUGACCUUUGUACACACCGCCCGUCGCUACUACCGAUUGAAUGGCU
rnacentral:rRNA from 1 species